rnacentral:rRNA from 1 species
GUAAAGCCCUUUUGUUGGGAAAGAAAUCCAGCCGGCUAAUACCUGGUUGGGAUGACGGUACCCAAAGAAUAAGCACCGGCUAACUUCGUGCCAGCAGCCGCGGUAAUACGAAGGGUGCAAGCGUUACUCGGAAUUACUGGGCGUAAAGCGUGCGUAGGUGGUCGUUUAAGUCCGUUGUGAAAGCCCUGGGCUCAACCUGGGAACUGCAGUGGAUACUGGACGACUAGAGUGUGGUAGAGGGUAGCGGAAUUCCUGGUGUAGCAGUGAAAUGCGUAGAGAUCAGGAGGAACAUCCAUGGCGAAGGCAGCUACCUGGACCAACACUGACACUGAGGCACGAAAGCGUGGGGAGCAAACAGGAUUAGAUACCCUGGUAGUCCACGCCCUAAACGAUGCGAACUGGAUGUUGGGUGCAAUUUGGCACGCAGUAUCGAAGCUAACGCGUUAAGUUCGCCGCCUGGGGAGUACGGUCGCAAGACUGAAACUCAAAGGAAUUGACGG